rnacentral:rRNA from 1 species
GAUGAACGCUGGCGGCGUGCCUAAUACAUGCAAGUCGAGCGAACAGAUGAGGAGCUUGCUCCUCUGACGUUAGCGGCGGACGGGUGAGUAACACGUGGAUAACCUACCUAUAAGACUGGGAUAACUUCGGGAAACCGGAGCUAAUACCGGAUAAUAUAUUGAACCGCAUGGUUCAAUAGUGAAAGACGGUUUUGCUGUCACUUAUAGAUGGAUCCGCGCCGCAUUAGCUAGUUGGUAAGGUAACGGCUUACCAAGGCAACGAUGCGUAGCCGACCUGAGAGGGUGAUCGGCCACACUGGAACUGAGACACGGUUCAGACUCCUACGGGAGGCAGCAGUAGGGAAUCUUCCGCAAUGGGCGAAAGCUUGACGGAGCAACGCCGCGUGAGUGAUGAAGGUCUUCGGAUCGUAAAACUCUGUUAUUAGGGAAGAACAAAUGUGUAAGUAACUAUGCACGUCUUGACGGUACCUAAUCAGAAAGCCACGGCUAACUACGUG